GCACCGUUGUUUGAAAAAUUCAAACCGCGGAUUUUGGUCAACUACUAAUAUCAACAAAAAAAAAUCAAAUUAACCUCAUCUUAUAUAUAUAAACACCCCUCUUUCAAUUUCAUUAAACCAAACCACAUACUAUUCCACCGUCGUAUCAUUAUCAUCUUUAAAAACUUAUCAAUAUUUUGGUAUUAAUUCCAUCAAGCUUGAUUCCCCUCAAAUAUCACAAAUUAAUGGGUAGCUAUAAUUACAUGAUAAAGUUGGGUAUGUUCACAACAUUAAUACUUGUAUUAAGUUUGGAAAACAUAAGGGCAGCAAGGACACUAGAAGGAGAAGAAUGGUUACAAAAGAAGAAUGUAUUAAUAUUUCAAUCAUUGCAAAGAGGUCCAGUGAAAGGUUCACAGAAAAAUCCAUGCUCCACCGUUCCUGGCCGGAGUAGAGGGCGUUGCACUCUGGCUGAAAUUCAUGUCGCUGGUCACGCGCCACCACCCAAAUUUGGAGGCAUCUCAAAAGAAGAGCUAAAGGCUUUGGCUGAAUCACAGAAAUAUAUACACAUACACACAAAAAUAAAUGCAAUAUGAUCGGUCUCAUCAUCUUUUUAUUUUUUAUUUUUUAUUUUUUUAUACACGGAUCUUAUUAUUUAUUUGUCCAAUACAUGUAAAAUUGACUGUAUCAUAUGAUUUUUUUUACUAACACAGUUAGAUUAUUAUUGUUGUUGUAUUCUCUCAAUGUGCAAUUCUUAAAUUUGCUAUAUCAUAUACAUUUAUCUGCUGGUUCUAUCUAUCAACAAAUCAAAUAAGAGUAUUUGCAGUAAAAGUUUUGAUAAAACAAACCACCCGAUCCAAAAAUAAAACUACACUACACGUGAUUUGGUUUUGUUUUGAUGAUAAAUUUAAAAAAAUAUGAUUUGAUUGAAUUACAAUUUACUUUGGUUCCGUAUUGGAUAUUCAAAUUAUAAUAGUAAAAAUUAUAUUAAUAUUAUAAAAAAAUAUAGUAAAAUAAUACGUCUGAUACAAAAUAUAAUAUAUAUAAAUAUUAAAUUUAAUAUUAUAAAAUAAUAGUUAUCGAUAAUAUAUAGUGUAUAAUUUUCAAUUUGUAAUGCAACAAACUCACGAGCAUGUUACCGUCAAAUGUGCUGACUAGCAUGCCUGCAUUGCAUGCUUAUUAUAUAUUCAUUCAAUUCAAUUCAUGCCGCGUGUUCGAUUCGAGAGUAGGUUUUGAAAUCUCUUACACUACUUUAUUGCCAAAAGGGUUGACUUUUAUCUUCUAAAUUAACCUCAAGUCAACUUUCUUAUUUUGCAACGAAAACGAUGUCUCAACACCCUUAUGUCUUCAUAGACAUCUUAAGAGAAAAGGAAAAAAAAGGAGUUUAAUGUAAUAUGUUGGGCACGUGAUAAAUAGAGAGAGAAAAUAAAAGGUUGAAAGGAGGCAUUUGAGAAUUUUAUAUUUCUUUUUUCUUUUCAAAACACUGCAUUCGAAUAUAAGAGCUCAUUUUUUAAUUGUCUUGGGCUACUAGUUUUAUUUUGGCACAAUCUGGGCUACAAGUUUAGGAAGACUGGCCACAUGACCAUACUUGCCAAUAACUUAGGUAAAGUUUUUAUUUUUUAUUUCUGCUAGUUACACCCCCAUGCCACUCAUUAAAAUUUUCAAAUCCCUAAAAUGCUCUUUGUCUCAUUUAUUUUUUAAAAUAACUAUGAUACUUGUGUAUCAAUAAAUUUUUUACACUCGUUCAUCAUCUUAUUUUUUUCAUAUCUCUUUUUACAUCAACUCACCAACAUAUCACAUUUAUUUUAUCAUUUUCUCUAUUUCUUUCUCCCUCUUAGUGCCUGUGAAUGUAUGACAUCCACGAAAUAUUUUUCUUUUAAAAACUCAUUUUCUUUAUCAAUAUUUUCUUCAUCACUCUCUCACCUUAUGACAAGAUGAGAAAAUAAAAAUAUCGUAAAGGUUAAUAGAACGACAGGAGCUUGACCCCUCUACUAAUCUCUAUGAAAUCAAAAAAUAAAUUAUACUUGAUUGCAGUUUUAGUUCCCCUAUUUUUAUUUAUUUAUGAAAUUGGUCUAUCUAUUUUAAAAAUUGAUAGUUUUGGUCAUUCAUUCUGAUUUUUUAACCUAAAAAUGAUGUAUAAUACUUUAAAUAAUGUGAUAUAUAAUAUGAUGAUAUAGAAUGAUUAACACUCGUGAAAUUGAAAUAAAUUUUCGUAAAAACUUAGUUUUCAACUUCAAUUUUUUUUCAUAUUUCAUUUAAGGCUAAAUUACAUCUGUGGCCCCUUAACUUAAUUUCAGGUAACGUUUUAGUCCUUUAUCUUUUUUUUCCCCAAUUUAGUCCUUUAUUCCUAACAAUAUCUAAUAAAGUAUGAAAAUAUGAGUUUAUUUGAAGAUUUGCGUUACGAAUUUGACGAAAUUUGUAUUAUAUUGAAGAAUAUAAUUAAUUUUAUGAGUUUUGAUUAAUUUUUUUUUUGAAUUUUUGUAUAAAAAAAGAUAACAUUAUUGAAAUUUUAAAACAUAAAAUAUCAAAUUAUCACUUAAAAUUAAAAUAAAGGACUAAGUCGGGAAAAAAAAAGAUAAAUGACUAAAACGUUACAUGAAAUUAAGUUAAGGGACCACGAAUGUAAUUUAGCCUUAAUUUAAUUAAUAGCAUACGAAUAAUUAAUGCAUCUAGAAGAUUCUAUAUUAUAAAAUUGUAUAUCACGUUAUUAAAAAUAUGUCAAAUCGUCAUGUUUUUAGUUCAAAAAUUUGAUGGAAGACUAAAAUUGUCUAACUUUUAAAAUUAUGGAGACUAAUUUCAUGAAUUGAUAAUAAUAGAUAAAUCAAAACUACAAUUAAGUCAACAAAUUAUUUGAUUAUCAUUUCUUAGUUGCAUAUUUGCAACGUUAUGAAGUUGAGUCACGAAGUUAUUCAACAACAUUUUUGGAGGGAUUGGGACUCAUACUAUUGCAAAGAUGUCAUAAGAACUAAUGUGUCAAUGUGACCCCCAAGAAAUCCUUCAACUAUUGCAUCCUCGUUGAUGUUUUAUUAUUACACGAUCAAUAAAAUUAAUGUAAAAUGAGAUCGAUGACAUAAAGAAAUCAGAAUCCAGAGUAAUGGUGGGAAGUAUGAGUAGAGCUACAGUACAACGUUAAAAUUCAGAGAUAGUAACACUUUGACCCAAAAGGUACACUUUGAUUGAAUUAUUAUUGGCAUAUAUAGAUGUCACCAAAGAUUGUCUCUUAACUCGAUCAGCUAGAGAUUCCUUUGACAAAGGACCACAGGUACUAUUCUGUUUCGAAGCAAAGUUGCACAGUAGAGUAGAAAGUGAAGUGUGUGGGAAAAUAAGUUUUGGAUGUAAGGAUAAUGGGAAGGUACUACGCUCGAGUAUUAAUGGUUCACAACUUCACAUCUAAUAAUUCUCUUAAACUCAGUUGUUUUACAUCACUACAAUUUAAAAUUUAAUCAGAAAGUAUUUAAAUAAAAUAAAAUUGUCAAUAAUGUUUCUGUGAAUGAUCUAACUGUGUAGUAUAUAUUUAUAAGUACUAAAAAUAAAUAAUUAUUAUAGUUAUAAAAGUAAAACGACAAAAACUAAUAUGUUUAGAUCAAACAUAUGGAUAUCUAUUAUUCUCAUAAUUAUUACUAAAUUUAAAGUAGACCACAGAGUUUUAUAAUGGUGAUACCCAAACCUGAAAAGAAGUUUAUAACAAAUGAUAUUCUAUAAAGUUUUUGAUACAUUAUAGUAAAAAUUUCAGAAAGUUAAACUCGAUGUGAGAUAUUAUGAGCACUAACCGUGAGUAUAGUAGGUUGUUUCGUAGAUUCUGAAACAUUGAAAUUGUG
rnacentral:lncRNA from 1 species